AGCCCGACACGAGGCUCAAACUCACGAACCGUGAGAUCAUGACCUGAGCCUAAAUUGGACGCUUAACUGACUGAGCCACCUGGGCGCCCCUGAUUGUUGGUUUUAAUGCAGUGUCGAAGGUGGAAAAAAGAUGGCUUCCAAAUUCUAAGUGGAGGAAGGGCACUGCUGGUCACAUUAAGUCAUGAUGCUCGUUAAUUCACUUUUAUUCACCGAUUAUGCAAAGGUGUUUGUUGAAAUCCGGCUAGUAAAUUUCCAUUCCAUCUUCUCUCAUGGCGGACUAAUGCAAACUAAUUGAAACAUGUUACAAAUUUUAUGUUUUUUAACCAAGGACUUUAAAGCACUCAAACUCUUCACUUGGAAAGUUUUGAGCAAGUUAUAAAAGCAUCUCCAAGACUGUUUGAGCAACGUUUACAUGGUUCUUGGCCAAGAGCUGACCUAAGCCCAGCAACACUUCCAAACAUCCUUUUCUGAAAGGCCCUUUCCUUGUCUGUAGUCUUGCCUUGGUUCCCCCACUUGGAGCCCUCUGCCCUCAGUAAUGGUGCAGAGCAAGGGUGGAGUAGGUUCUGGUGUGCAACUCUGUAGCUAGCUGCCUGCUCUCCUGCCUGCUGCCUGCUGUAGACACAUGGUCUCACUGCCCGCCCCUUUCCCGCAGCCCCUCGAGAUCCCAGAGGUUCUGGAGGGGAACAGAGAGGAGCUGAAUGGCGAGCAAUAAAAAUAGUGCCAGUGACUCACUGCACUUUAUUGCUGCAGUGCCCUUUCCGCAGAACCACCAAGAUAGCCUGGACAAUCUGACAGGAUCUCACAGCCUGUGGACACGGCCAUAUCGGCUUCAUGCCGGGAUGAUCAGCAAGGGGAAACUCGUGGGGAGAAGACACUCGUUAGAGUUAGGUGUGAUUUCAUGGCAUGAAAGCCCCAAAGGGAAGGUGAAUCAAGAGACUGUGGAACUCUCCAAAGUGUCCAUGACCCAUCCCCACCCUGACACUAAUACCGACACUGUCAGGGGCUCCAGGAGAAGACAGAAGAGAAGCAUGACGCUUGGAGCCUGGACGUCCUGUCUCUGACGCCAUCUCUGACUGCCGGCUCUCUUGCCAACCUCCCCACACUGGCAUUAACAUCCUGUUCUCCUCCAGACGCCAUCGAAGACCUGAGCUGGAGACCACGCCAAACAAUUCCAUGGCA